AGCGAACGCUGGCGGCAGGCUUAACACAUGCAAGUCGAGCGCCCCGCAAGGGGAGCGGCAGACGGGAGAGUAACACGUGGGAACGUACCCUUUAGUUCGGAACAGCCCAGGGAAACUUGGGCUAAUACCGGAUACGUCCGUAAGGAGAAAGAUUUAUCGCUAAAGGAUCGGCCCGCGUCUGAUUAGCUAGUUGGUGAGGUAACGGCUCACCAAGGCGACGAUCAGUAGCUGGUCUGAGAGGAUGAUCAGCCUCACUGGGACUGAGACACGGCCCAGACUCCUACGGGAGGCAGCAGUGGGGAAUAUUGGACAAUGGGCGCAAGCCUGAUCCAGCCAUGCCGCGUGGGUGAUGAAGGCCCUAGGGUUGUAAAGCCCUUUCGGCGGGGAAGAUAAUGACGGUACCCGCAGAAGAAGCCCCGGCUAACUUCGUGCCAGCAGCCGCAGUAA
rnacentral:rRNA from 1 species